CUAAUUUCCCUUUUGAAAGUUCUGAUUGAAUCUGUUACCAUUAUCCUUUCAGGCAUUAUAUUCCAGAUCACAGCAUCUAGCCUCGUAAAAUAGUAACUCCUCCAGCUUCCUUCCGGGACCAUCAAAUAGCACUUCUGUUUGUUCAAUGACUUGAGGACACUGGAUAUGUGGCACCAUCUGGAUCUGGAUCUACCAGUACACAAGACAGGAAAACUGGUGCAAUGCCAAUGUGAUGAAAUGCCCUUUCUCUCUGAGCUGGCUCAGGGAGAUUCCACAACUCAGUGAAACGGGAGAGAGGGUCCAUGCAGCAGCUCAACUACUGGACAAGGAAUGACCAUGAGGCAGUGUUCGUGACAUGCUGCUUGAACUACACCCUCACAAUGGGCUGUUCCUUUGAAGAACCUCAAAUGGAGAGUGUUGCUGCAACAGAAGGGGAAUGUGGAACAGGUGUUGUGGGCAAAUAGUAGAUUAUAAUAAGAAAGUUUUUUAAUUUUUAAAGGUUCCUACAUCAGUGACUAUGUUUAUUGGUUGUAACAGACUGUUAAACAUCCUGCAAUCGUGGUCAGUGCGAUUAACACAGGGCUUUCUUUAGUUUUGAAUUUAGUUUGAAUCUAAUGGUCCACAGAACCUUGCUCCUUUCAUGUGCCACGUGUCCACCCAAUGGGAAUUCUGCCACCCAUUUCAUAUUUGAUUAUUUAUUUGCAUUUGUUCUUGUGAUAUAUCACUGACCAGGUUUUGAAGAGGUAAAUGUUAAGACUUGGUCAAGAACCAUUGGAUAAAGAAGGAAAGUUUUCAGAAUUGGGACCCACUGACUGCUUGGAAGUUAUAGGUAAAAACAAUGACUGCAGAUGAUGGAAACCAGAUUUUGGAUGAGUGGUGCUGGAAGAGCACAGCAGUUCAGGCAGCAUCCAAGGAGCAGCAAAAUCGUUAUGAGGCAGUUAUUGAGAGUGAAGCCGGGGAGAAGAGGCUGCUGUCUCUUUGUUGGCUUUACAAAGCUGCAAAGGGGAUGGUGAGUUUGAUGAUCAAAAUAUGUUUGACAGUAGUAUCACAUCAGACUUGAGAGAUAGCGCAGAGACCAUCUGGGGAGGCUAUGGCCUAGUGGUAUUAUUGCCGGACUGUUAAUUUAAAGUCUAGAUCA